rnacentral:rRNA from 1 species
GAUGAACGCUGGCGGCGUGCUUAACACAUGCAAGUCGAACGGAAAGGCCCAAGCUUGCUUGGGUACUCGAGUGGCGAACGGGUGAGUAACACGUGGGUGAUCUGCCCUGCACUUCGGGAUAAGCCUUGGAAACUGGGUCUAAUACCGGAUAGGACCACAUUUUGGAUGGUGUGGUGGAAAGUUUUUCGGUGUGGGAUGAGCUCGCGGCCUAUCAGCUUGUUGGUGGGGUAAUGGCCUACCAAGGCGUCGACGGGUAGCCGGCCUGAGAGGGUGUACGGCCACAUUGGGACUGAGAGACGGCCCAGACUCCUACGGGAGGCAGCAGUGGGGAAUAUUGCACAAUGGGCGCAAGCCUGAUGCAGCGACGCCGCGUGGGGGAUGACGGCCUUCGGGUUGUAAACUCCUUUCGCUAGGGACGAAGCGUUUUUGUGACGGUACCUGGAGAAGAAGCACCGGCUAACUACGU